GCUUGUCUCAAAGAUUAAGCCAUGCAUGUCUAAGUAUAAACGACUUUAUACUGUGAAACUGCGAAUGGCUCAUUAUAUCAGUUAUAGUUUAUUUGAUGGUCCUUGCUACUUGGAUAACCGUAGUAAUUCUAGAGCUAAUACAUGCAUCAAGCCCCGACUUCUGGAAGGGGUGUAUUUAUUAGAUAAAGAACCAAUCCAUGCUUGCAUGGUUUUGUGGUGAUUCAUAAUAACUGAUCGAAUCGCAUGCCUUCGGGCGGCGAUGUAUCAUUCAAGUUUCUGACCUAUCAGCUUCCGACGGUAGGGUAUUGGCCUACCGUGGCAAUGACGGGUAACGGGGAAUUAGGGUUCGAUUCCGGAGAGGGAGCCUGAGAAACGGCUACCACAUCUAAGGAAGGCAGCAGG
rnacentral:rRNA from 1 species